GGUUGUGGCUCAGUGGUAGAGCGCUUGCCUUGCAUGUGUGAGGCACUGGGUUUGAUUCUGAGCACCA
rnacentral:tRNA from 1 species